rnacentral:rRNA from 1 species
AUUGAACGCUGGCGGCAUGCCUUACACAUGCAAGUCGAACGGCAGCGCGGGGCAACCUGGCGGCGAGUGGCGAACGGGUGAGUAAUAUAUCGGAACGUACCCUAGAGUGGGGGAUAACGUAGCGAAAGUUACGCUAAUACCGCAUACGAUCUAAGGAUGAAAGUGGGGGAUCGCAAGACCUCAUGCUCGUGGAGCGGCCGAUAUCUGAUUAGCUAGUUGGUAGGGUAAAAGCCUACCAAGGCAUCGAUCAGUAGCUGGUCUGAGAGGACG